AACGGGAGGAGCAAGUGUUAUUCGGAAUGACUGGGUGUUAAGCGUAUGAUAAUGGUGCAAGUGUAAACGUAGAAAAGUGCAUCUCGGUAGUUAUUCACUUUUAUCUGCACUAGAGUACAAGAGAGGACAGUAGAACUUCUAGAGGAGCAAUCAAAUGCCUUGAUACUGGAAAGAAUGCCAAAAGCGCAGGCAGCUGUCUGGAUUGUGUACUGACGUUU
rnacentral:rRNA from 1 species